UAAGUUGGAAGAAGCCCUGCCUUGUAAACCAAAACGUACUUGGACUUCUAUCCAGAGUCGAUUUCAGGGAAUCAGUAGACAGGUUUCACUUUAUUCUGCAAAAGUGUUGGAAGUUGAUGGUGAAUAUCAUAGCGGAUGGAAUGAAGUCUCGAGGGUUGAAGAGAUAAGAAAGCGAUUCAAAGAAAGUAAUGGUAAC